rnacentral:rRNA from 1 species
UACGGGGGGGGCAAGCGUUGUUCGGAAUUACUGGGCGUAAAGGGCUCGUAGGCGGCCAACUAAGUCAGACGUGAAAUCCCUCAGCUUAACUGGGGAACUGCGUGUGAUACUGGAUGGCUUGGAUUUGGGAGAGGGAUGCGGAAUUCCAGGUGUAGCGGUGAAAUGCGUAGAUAUCUGGAGGAACACCGGUGGCGAAGGCGGCAUCCUGGACCAAUAUUGACGCUGAGGCACGAAAGCGUGGGGAGCGAACAGG